rnacentral:ncRNA from 1 species
ACUGCUAGGGGCGCGUUCAGCUGAGAUAAGGAAUCAUUCCUUUGUCCCUUGGAACCUGAUCUGGAUAAUGCCAGCGCAGGGAAGUAG